UACGAAGGGUGCAAACGUUGCUCGGAAUUAUUGGGCGUAAAGCGCACGUAGGCGGCUUUGUAAGUUAGAGGUGAAAGCCCAGGGCUCAACCCUGGAAUUGCCUUUAAGACUGCAUCGCUAGAAUUGUGGAGAGGUAAGUGGAAUUCCGAGUGUAGAGGUGAAAUUCGUAGAUAUUCGGAAGAACACCAGUGGCGAAGGCGACUUACUGGACACAUAUUGACGCUGAGGUGCGAAAGCGUGGGGAGCAAACAGG
rnacentral:rRNA from 1 species